GCGGAAGUGGCCCGGUGGUUAGGGUGAUGUCUUCCCACGUGAUAUCCGUUCACGUUUCCAAAGUAUUAAGGCAGUGGCCGGGAGUUCGAACUUUUCCUUCCUCA